rnacentral:tRNA from 1 species
GUGGCUCAGUGGUUAAGAGCACUUGUUCUUCUAGAAGACCUGGGUUCAAUUCCCAGC